UCUAUCUCUCCCAUCGCAUCACAUCACCAAUUCACCAUGUGUGUGUUCACGGGAGUUGUGGAUUAUGCACCUGAGUCUGAGUGGCACCAAGACUUUACUUUUCAACAUGAGCAGCCAAACAGAAACAUUUUGCAGCAAAGUCGUUGGCUACGUGCGUGUGAAUUUUGGCAUUUGGUCUACAAUGGGAGAAGAGUAUUUUUAGCCUUUUUUUCUUGCGCGUGGCUGCCCCAAAAGAGAUACCAAAUUGCUACAGAAAAUCAACACACUCAAUUAGCUAGUAUGAUAAUGAGAAUAAACUCAUGACACUGUAAUUGUAUGUCUGGAAAUCAAGCACUGUUUCCUUUGAACAGAUCAAGUGUGAGGAGUUAUGUUUUGGCGGAAAUAAACAACAAUACCACAUGACAAAUAAUCUACUCGAUCUUAAUUAUGACUUCGAAUUAGCUGUUUGCACAAGAUUAAGGUAGUGUUUGGUUGAGGAGCCAAGUAGAAUGAGUCGUUCCAU
rnacentral:misc_RNA from 1 species